ACACAUAUCCGGUUCCAUCUGUCCAUCAACCAGCUUUCCCUAUACUAUGCCGUUUGGGGGGGGGGAAUACACAUAAAUAUGGAACUAUGACUCUUCGAACCCAUUAUCUCUUUCCCUUAAUCCUAAUAUCACUUUCGUCUUGUGAUCGUAGAGAAUAAACCCAAAUUAUUUGUAGUCAACCGAGAUAUACACCUGUUUACCAGGUGAGUUAUAGUCCAUUGUUACCAAUCCAAGCCACGAGUCAGCAGGCUACAAGGUAUGCAAGUUGACUAUAUCUUGGUGGCCUUCCACCAUUGGCUAAUGAGUAGAAUGUAGCAUAUCGAUCGUCGGAGGCAUGAAGAUGUUGCAUCUUCAUAUACAGCAACAAAACACUACAGCAUUGAGGAUGAUUAAGUAGAGGAACAUCCCAAGAUACUAUUUCAGAUUCCAAGUAAGACAAGAAGCUUCAUUCAGUUUUCUGUGAGACAGUGAAGUAUGGUGUAGGCCUUGGUCGUAAUUUAUAUGACAUCAUAUUCUAUUUCUUACGUCCCAGCACUCUGAAGAAAAAAAAAUGAUAGUCAGUUUGUAAUCGGGAAAUUUUUUGAAUUUUACAUAUCACAAAACAUCAUAGGUAUUGUAUUGCUGCUGUUAUGAAUCUAUAUGCAUAUAUAAGUUAAUAUUUGUUCAUCGCUUCAAAUGAAGCUUAUGAGUAUGCAAUUUUCUCUCAA